rnacentral:rRNA from 1 species
UACGUAGGGUGCGAGCGUUAAUCGGAAUCACUGGGCGUAAAGCGCGUGUAGGCGGCUCGGUAAGUCCGGUGUGAAACCUUGGGGCUCAACCCCAAGCCUGCACUGGAUACUGUCGAGCUCGAGUCCGGGAGGGGAGAGCGGAAUUCCUAGUGUAGCGGUGAAAUGCGCAGAUAUUAGGAAGAACACCGGUGGCGAAGGCGGCUCUCUGGAACGGUACUGACGCUGAGGUGCGAAAGCGUGGGGAGCAAGCAGG